UGGGGAAUAUUGCACAAUGGGCGCAAGCCUGAUGCAGCCAUGCCGCGUGUGUGAAGAAGGCCUUCGGGUUGUAAAGCACUUUCAGCGGGGAGGAAGGCGGUGAGGUUAAUAACCUCAUCGAUUGACGUUACCCGCAGAAGAAGCACCGGCUAACUCCGUGCCAGCAGCCGCGGUAAUACGGAGGGUGCAAGCGUUAAUCGGAAUUACUGGGCGUAAAGCGCACGCAGGCGGUCUGUCAAGUCGGAUGUGAAAUCCCCGGGCUCAACCUGGGAAGUGCAUCUGAUACUGGCAAGCUUGAGUCUCGUAGAGGGGGGUAGAAUUCCAGGUGUAGCGGUGAAAUGCGUAGAGAUCUGGAGGAAUACCGGUGGCGAAGGCGGCCCCCUGGACGAAGACUGACGCUAAGGUGCGAAAGCGUGGGGAGCAAACAGG
rnacentral:rRNA from 1 species